AGAGUUUGAUUCUGGCUCAGGAUGAACGCUGGCGGCGUGCCUAACACAUGCAAGUCAAGCGGAGAUAAGUUGAAGCCUAGCGAUUCUUAUCUUAGCGGCGGAUGGGUGAGUAACACGUGGGUAACCUGCCCUGCACUGGGGAAUAACAGCUGGAAACGGCUGUUAAUGCCGCAUAUGUGCACGGAGCCGCAUGGCUUUGGGCGGAAAGAUUUAUCGGUGCGGGAUGGGCCCGCGCCGGAUUAACUAGUUGGCGGGGUAACGGCCCACCAAGGUGAUGAUCCGUAGCCGACCUGAGAGGGUGACCGGCCACAUUGGGACUGAGACACGGCCCAAACUCCUACGGGAGGCAGCAGUGGGGGAUAUUGCACAAUGGGGGAAACCCUGAAUGCAGCGACGCCGCGUGAAGGAUGAAGUAUUUCGGUAUGUAAACUUCUAUCAACGGGGAAGAAGAUGACGGUACCCGACUAAGAAGCCCCGGCUAACUACGUGCCAGCCGCAGC
rnacentral:rRNA from 1 species